ACUACCAUAAUAGUUUUGACAGUAGUAAGUGGCAGCAUCGGCACACUCCAGGUCGCUGAUGGUGAGAGUGAACUGUGUCCCAGAUCCACUGCCUUUGAACCGCGAUGGGACCCCAGAUGCCAGAGUGGAUGCAGAAUAGAUCAGGAGCUUGGGAGGCUGCCCUGGUUUCUGCUGAUACCA